GUGCCCGAGCCAUUAGGGGUUAUUUUGAUAGAAUAAACACAGAGAUACCAACCUCUCACUUCCA
rnacentral:tRNA from 1 species